GUGUCACAAGGUCUCCCUAAAGCAAGCUCAUUGUGUUGGUGUGGGGAGUCAUUGCUUCGGAAGGUGUGGGUAAGAAGACCUCUUCCAGGAGGUAACGUUUGAACUGAGACUCGAACGGCUGGCAGAGGGCAAAAAUCCCUAUGGAUUUAUCCACCGUGAAAAGCUUCAGGAAAAACAUUCCCAACACUACCAAAUCCCAGAUGCCUUUGUAGCUGAUGUCCAUUUGAUCUUCAAGAACUGUGAAAGGUUUCGUGCGGAAUAAGAACAGAAUGCAGAAAUGGCUCCAUUUCACCAAAGAGAAGAGCCCUUUUCUUCAUUAGUAACCGGAAUCUAAAAAUCAACAGGGUCCUUGGCAAAAAAGGAGAUUUCCUUAAUCCAUUUUGUGUGUCUGCUGAUGUAUUAUGGAUCCAAUAACCAGCAAUAUUCUCAAUAUUCUUGAAGUCAGGAACAACAACACGGUACCCAUUCUCACCACUGCUAUUUUUGUUCUGGAAGUGCUGGUUAGUACAACUUUAAAAAAUUGGAAUUAAAAAAUUGAGAAAGUAGAAGGUAAUAUUGCCAUUAUGUAUGCAUGAUAUGAUUGUAUAGCUUA